AGCAGCCGCGGUAAUUCCAGCUCCAAUAGCGUAUAUUAAAGUUGUUGCAGUUAAAAAGCUCGUAGUUGAAUUUCGGGAUCAGUACGCCGGUCGUGCCUUCGGUAUGUACUGGUGUCACUGAUUCCUCCCUUCUGACGAACCGUUAUGCCAUUUAUUUGGUGUGGCGGGGAAUCAGGGCUGUUACUUUGAAAAAAUUAGAGUGUUUAAAGCAGGCUCGCGCUUGAAUACAUUAGCAUGGAAUAAUGAAAUAGGACGUUUGAUUCUAUUUUGUUGGUUUCUAGGAUCGACGUAAUGAUUAAUAGGGAUAGUUGGGGGCAUUAGUAUUCAAUUGUCAGAGGUGAAAUUCUUGGAUUUAUUGAAGACUAACUACUGCGAAAGCAUUUGCCAAGGAUGUUUUCAUUAAUCAAGAACGAAAGUUAGGGGAUCGAAGACGAUCAGAUACCGUCGUAG
rnacentral:rRNA from 1 species